ensembl:snRNA U6 U6 spliceosomal RNA
GCUUUGGCAAAACAUAUACUGAAAUUGAAAUGAUACAAAGCAGAUUAGCAUGGCCUUUGCUCAAGGAUGACAUGCAAAUUGUGAAGCGUUCCACUUAAAG